rnacentral:rRNA from 1 species
AGCGAACGCUGGCGGCAGGCCUAACACAUGCAAGUCGAACGAACUCUUCGGAGUUAGUGGCGGACGGGUGAGUAACACGUGGGAACGUGCCUUUUGGUUCGGAAUAACUCAGGGAAACUUGUGCUAAUACCGAAUGUGCCCUUCGGGGGAAAGAUUUAUCGCCAUUAGAGCGGCCCGCGUCUGAUUAGCUAGUUGGUGAGGUAACGGCUCACCAAGGCGACGAUCAGUAGCUGGUCUGAGAGGAUGACCAGCCACACUGGGACUGAGACACGGCCCAGACUCCUACGGGAGGCUGCAGUGGGGAAUCUUGCGCAAUGGGCGAAAGCCUGACGCAGCCAUGCCGCGUGAAUGAUGAAGGUCUUAGGAUUGUAAAAUUCUUUCACCGGGGACGAUAAUGACGGUACCCGGAGAAGAAGCCCCGGCUAACUUCGUG